rnacentral:rRNA from 1 species
CGUGGGUAACCUGCCCAAGAGAUCGGGAUAACACCUGGAAACAGAUGCUAAUACCGGAUAACAACAGAUGAUGCCUACCAACUGUUUAAAAGAUGGUUCUGCUAUCACUCUUGGAUGGACCUGCGGUGCAUUAGCUAGUUGGUAGGGUAACGGCCUACCAAGGCGAUGAUGCAUAGCCGAGUUGAGAGACUGAUCGGCCACAUUGGGACUGAGACACGGCCCAAACUCCUACGGGAGGCAGCAGGC